GAUGAACGCUAGCGGCAGGCCUAACACAUGCAAGUCGAGGGGCAGCACAGAAAUAGCUUGCUAUUUGGGUGGCGACCGGCGCACGGGUGCGUAACGCGUAUGCAACCUACCUUAUACUGGGGUAUAGCCCGGAGAAAUUCGGAUUAAUCCCCCAUGGUAUUAUAGAUUGGCAUCGGUUUAUAAUUAAAGUAACAACGGUAUAAGAUGGGCAUGCGUCCUAUUAGCUAGAUGGUGAGGUAACGGCUCACCAUGGCUACGAUAGGUAGGGGGCCUGAGAGGGUAGUCCCCCACACUGGUACUGAGACACGGACCAGACUCCUACGGGAGGCAGCAGUGAGGAAUAUUGGUCAAUGGGCGCAAGCCUGAACCAGCCAUGCCGCGUGAAGGAAGAAGGUUCUAUGGAUUGUAAACUUCUUUAUUAGGAUAAACCUCCCGACGUGUCGGGAGCUGAAGGUACUAAAUGAAUAAGCACCGGCUAACUCCGUGCCAGCAGCCGC
rnacentral:rRNA from 1 species